UUGAAAGUGAACAAUUGCAAUGUGGGAGGAGUAAGAUUAGAAAAAAAAUGUCAGAUAGGUACUUUCGAAAUCUAUUAUAAAUAUACUGUUCUCAGGUGAUAUCUGAGUUAUGGUCAUUGUCAGGACCUCAGCAAAGGUAAUGCAUCUAAAGAAAGAGCCUUGCAAGAGUAUGGAACGGAUCCAGAGAAGAAGAAAUAUAUUUAUAAAUCUGAACCCUGUGGAUUGUUACCUGUAAGAACUGACCGUCAUCAAUGAGACAGAGCGUGACAGUGGCACUGGAUGCCUGAAAUGUUCCUGCUAUAUUGAUAAAUAAAAUGUGAAGCUCAAAUACAACAUCGUCACAUUUAGAAAGUUAAAUACAGAUAGUUCUUACUUUAAAAAUGGACGCAUCUAUUUCCUGGUUGUAGUCCUGCUUCCCAGCAUGCUUCCACGGGAUACGGAAAAGGCUUUUCUCAUCAUUUUCCCAAACUAGACCUGGGUAAUAACCACUGUCAAUCUGCUCUAUCAGCCACUGACGGAGUCUCCUGCCACUAUUACGGUCACACAUCUGAAAUCCAUAGGAAAAUAAAAUAAAAUUAAAUGCUUUUGAACCUGAUUAAAAUAUUGAUUUUGGACUUCA